GUCAGUUUAGUGUAACAAACUACGUCGGAUUUUCAAACCGAAAAUGCUAAAUUAAAUGUAACUGACC
rnacentral:tRNA from 1 species